GUUUUAAUUUAUAUAAUGAAUGAUACAAUUAUAUUUGUUUUGAAUAUUCCAUCAAACCUAUUGUUUAUAUAAACAAGAUAGACGUUGGAAACACCGAUAAACAUUGGAAAUUAAAUUUACACAAGUAUCAAAAUGGAUGCUGAUCUAUAUGAUGAGUUUGGAAAUUAUAUUGGUCCUGAUUUGGCAUCAGAGAGUGAAGAUGAAAAUGAAUAUGGUAAUGUUGGUGACGAUGCCGAGGACAGAGAUCGAUCUGAUGAAGAAAUGGAAGAAGAUAAGGAUGAGUUACGAGAGCAAGGAGAACAAGGAUCUUCUAUGGCAGUUGUAUUACAUGAAGAUAAACGAUAUUAUCCGAGUGCAUUAGAAGUAUAUGGACCUGAGGUAGAAACACUUGUGCAAGAAGAAGAUGCCCAACCAUUAGAUAAACCAUUGAUAGCACCUACCAGAAAACCAAAGUUUCAAAUAAAGCAACAACAGCUUCCUGAAACAACAUACAGCAUUGAAUUUUUAGCGGAUAUGAUGGAUGCGCCGCAUCUAAUUAGAAAUGUGGUUUUGCUAGGUCAUUUGCAUCAUGGCAAAACCACUUUGGUCGAUUGUUUGGUACAACAAACGCAUCCUUAUUUACACAAUGUAACCGAUGAAAAACCUUUAAGGUAUACAGAUACGUUGUUUACCGAGCAACAGAGAGGCGUUUCCACAAAAGCUACUCCCGUCACUCUUCUGUUACAAGACGUCAAAUCUAAAUCAUAUCUUUUGAACAUAUUUGAUACACCAGGCCAUGUGAAUUUCUCCGACGAGGCUACAGCCGCAAUACGCCUGUCAGACGGUGCGAUAUUAAUUGUCGACGCGGCGGAGGGUGUAAUGCUGAACACCGAACGUCUGCUGAAACAUGCGCUCCAAGAAAAGCUCGCUUUAACAAUCUGUAUAAACAAGAUAGAUCGUUUAGUCUUGGAGUUGAAACUUCCGCCUACUGAUGCCUACUACAAGCUGCGGCAUAUCAUUGAGGAAAUCAAUGGAUUGAUAGCAUUAUACUCGGACACCGAGAAUCCUACCUUUGUUUCACCGGCUGUCGGAAAUGUCUGCUUCGCCAGUUCGGAGUACAAUGUGUGCUUUACUCUAAAAUCGUUUGCCGCACUCUAUGCCAGGAACUAUCCUGGUCUUAACGCCAAUGAAUUCGCCAAACGACUCUGGGGCGAUAUUCAUUUCAAUCCUAAGACGCGAAAGUUCACCAAAAAGCCGCCACAUAAUACGGCACAACGAAGUUUCAUUGAAUUCAUCUUGGAGCCUUUAUAUAAGAUAUUCGCACAGGUUGUUGGCGAUGUGGAUACAACGUUACCCGAUGUUCUGGAUGAGCUCGGUAUACGAUUAACCUCUGAAGAGAUGAAGAUGAAUAUACGACCACUAUUGAGACUCGUUUGCACGCGAUUUCUGGGAGAUAUGUGCGGAUUAGUCGACAUGUGUGUCACUCAUGUACCUAGUCCACUAGCGCACGCUCCGGCUAAAGUACAGCACGUUUAUACGGGUCCAAUUGAUUCGCCACUCGCGCAAGACAUGGUCAACUGUGAUCCGGACGGAAGAUUGAUGAUUCACAGUACGAAGAUGUAUCCGACUGAAGAUUGUACUCUAUUCGUGGUACUUGGCAGAGUAAUGUCCGGUACAUUGGAAGCGGGACAGCGCGUUCGCGUGUUAGGCGAAGCGUAUUCGCGCACGGACGAAGAAGAUUCACGCGUUCUCACAGUGGGCAGAUUGUGGAUCAGUGAAGCGCGUUAUUCCAUCGAACUAAGUCGAGUACCUGCGGGCAAUUGGGUCCUCAUUGAGGGUAUUGAUCGCCCUAUUGUAAAAACCAGCACCAUCACGGAUCCCAAUAAUUCGGAAGAGUUGCAUAUCUUUCGUCCGCUCAAAUUCAACACGCAGAGUGUGAUCAAAAUCGCCGUUGAGCCAGUCAAUCCGUCCGAGCUGCCGAAGAUGUUGGACGGGUUGCGAAAGGUAAACAAAAGUUAUCCUUUAUUAGGAACACGGGUGGAAGAGAGCGGCGAGCACGUCGUGCUGGGAACUGGUGAACUUUAUCUUGACUGCGCGAUGCACGAUCUUCGUCGCAUGUAUUCCGAAAUUGACAUAAAAGUGGCCGACCCAGUAGUCGCCUUCGCAGAAACUGUAGUGGAGACCAGCUCUCUCAAAUGCUUCGCUGAAACACCUAAUAAACGAAAUAAACUGACAAUGAUAGCGGAGCCGCUGGAAAGGGGUCUUGCUGAAGAUAUAGAGGCGGAGCAUGUGCGCAUCACGUGGAACAAGAAGAGAUUGGGAGAAUUCUUCCAAACAAAGUAUGAUUGGGAUUUAUUGGCAGCUCGAAGCAUAUGGGCAUUCGGGCCUGAUUCUACAGGACCUAACAUUCUAGUGGAUGAUACUUUACCUUCCGAAGUAGAUAAAACACUGUUAAAUAGUGCGCGUGAUGCCAUUAUUCAGGGCUUUCAAUGGGGAACACGCGAAGGACCGUUGUGCGAAGAGCCGAUUCGGAAUGUCAAAUUCAAGAUCCUUGACGCAGUCAUCGCGCAGGAACCGCUACAUCGAGGAGGUGGUCAAAUUAUUCCUACCGCUCGACGUGUCGCAUAUUCUGCUUUCCUUAUGGCGACUCCGCGACUGAUGGAGCCAUACCUGUUUGUCGAGGUACAAGCGCCUGCAGAUUGCGUAUCCGCCGUUUACACGGUAUUGGCGAAACGGCGAGGUCACGUGACGCAGGACGCUCCGGUUCCGGGUAGUCCGUUGUACACGAUUAAAGCGUUUAUACCAGCGAUUGACAGUUUCGGCUUCGAGACAGAUCUCCGAACGCAUACUCAAGGACAAGCGUUCUGCCUGUCUGUGUUUCACCAUUGGCAAAUCGUGCCUGGAGAUCCUCUAGACAAAAGCAUCACCAUCAGACCAUUGGAACCGCAACCGGCCACUCACUUGGCCAGAGAGUUCAUGCUGAAGACACGAAGACGCAAGGGUUUGUCCGAGGAUGUGUCGAUCAAUAAAUUCUUCGACGAUCCCAUGUUACUCGAAUUGGCUCGGCAGGAUGUGCUGCUAAAUUAUCCCCUUUAAUAAAUUAACAACGCAGUGCCUUUUCCUUGUUCUCUCAUCCUUAAAUCCGAUCGCCAAGCGAAGAACGACACAGAUAUAGCAUCACAGAAAUUGUACUAAACGUAAGCAGAUAUAGCAUCACAGAAGCGUACUAAACAAGAGAAAGAAUAUCAAAAUUCCUACAAAAAAAUAUAUACAUAUAACAUCGCGAUUAUGCAUUAAAAAUUAAGAUAAUUCGGAAAA